rnacentral:rRNA from 1 species
UACGGGGGGGGGCACGCGUUGUUCGGAAUUACUGGGCGUAAAGGGCGCGUAGGCGGCCUUCUAAGUCGAACGUGAAAUCCCUGGGCUCAACCCAGGAACUGCGUCCGAUACUGGGAGGCUUGAAUCCGGGAGAGGGAUGUGGAAUUCCAGGUGUAGCGGUGAAAUGCGUAGAUAUCUGGAGGAACAUCGGUGGCGAAGGCGGCAUCCUGGACCGGUAUUGACGCUGAUGCGCGAAAGCCAGGGGAGCAAACGGG